UGGGGAAUAUUGCACAAUGGGCGCAAGCCUGAUGCAGCCAUGCCGCGUGUGUGAAGAAGGCCUUCGGGUUGUAAAGCACUUUCAGCGAGGAGGAAGGGUAGUGUGUUAAUAGCACAUUGCAUUGACGUUACUCGCAGAAGAAGCACCGGCUAACUCCGUGCCAGCAGCCGCGGUAAUACGGAGGGUGCAAGCGUUAAUCGGAAUUACUGGGCGUAAAGCGCACGCAGGCGGUUUGUUAAGUCAGAUGUGAAAUCCCCGCGCUUAACGUGGGAACUGCAUUUGAAACUGGCAAGCUAGAGUCUUGUAGAGGGGGGUAGAAUUCCAGGUGUAGCGGUGAAAUGCGUAGAGAUCUGGAGGAAUACCGGUGGCGAAGGCGGCCCCCUGGACAAAGACUGACGCUCAGGUGCGAAAGCGUGGGGAGCAAAUA
rnacentral:rRNA from 1 species